UACGAAGGGUGCGAAGCGUUAAUCGGAUUACUGGGCGUAAAGGGUGCGUAGGCGGUUAUUUAAGGUCUGCCGUGAAAUCCCCGGGCUCGAACCUGGGAAAUGGCGGUGGAUACUGGAUAGCCUAGAGUGUGUCAGAGGAUGGUGGAAUUCCCGGUGUAGCGGUGAAAUGCGUAGAGAUCGGGAGGAACAUCAGUGGCGAAGGCGGCCAUCUGGGACAACACUGACGCUGAAGCACGAAAGCGUGGGGAGGCAAACAGGG
rnacentral:rRNA from 1 species